rnacentral:lncRNA from 1 species
GCCUCGCUUCUGAUGGGUGCAACAGCAUCAUUGAGCUCGCCCCUGCUAUCCUGAAACCUCUGAACCUCCUUCCAACGUGUGAAGUGCGGAUCAAUCAACUAUGCCUUACACUCUGCUACAACGUCUGCACCCUCAACACCCUGACCCCGCCGGGCGCCCCCUCACCGGCGCCGGCCAGCGCCGCCGCACCACCACCAUGCAAGCAAUAAUUAUAUACCCGUGUCUUACUUCAUAAGCAUACAAAUUACUAAAGAAUGAUCAAAAUAUAUCUGUGUAAUAAAGUGUCCUUGCUCCCGGUAUAUGCCUACCGGCUAGCUAGAGGAAGCGUGUGUGCGAUGCUUGGUCAUCGUCAGUGUUCAUGAGCUAAGACUCAUACUAUGUAUCUGAUAUCUGUGUCCAAGGGUAUUCUUGGAACCCGUGUUUAAUUGGAAGUAUAAAUUUUUGUAUCAACCAAAAAUCACUUUAUUGUUAUGGUUUUUUCCUAGUUAUAUUAUUCAUCAAUGCAUGCAGAACUAUAUAGUCCCUGUUGGGGAACCAUCUACGCCUAAUAUUCAGAUGGGCAAAUAAUAUGUUAGGCGUAGAUGGUUGAGUUCUUUAUCUUUCAGGAUCUAGAAUCAAGGGCCUUAGCUGCCCGCAGUCCAGUGCAGAAAAGGUGGGCAAGAAAGCAUCGCCAAGAGAUCUGGUAGAUUUCACUCCCCAAGGCAUAGAAGCCAUUGCUAUAUAAGCAAGAUAGACUUCCAUGCAACUCAUUAAAGCAGCAUCUAGCCAGCUCUUGAUUUGAUACCUAUAGGUUUCUAUAUUUGUGGAAAAAGUUCAUAUGCCAUAAAUUCUUAUAUUUAGGGAUGGAGAUAACACAUGUAAGAGCAAGUCCAAAAGCUCUCUUUUAUUAACCCCAAUACCUCAAUUAGGGAGAAAAAGAAAAAAAAAUAGGCUCCAACAACUCCCCGCAAAUAUUUAGCAUCCCGAAUCCUUCCCUCAUCGCCCCGCAUAUAUCCGUCGAUCCAAUCUUCCCCAAUCCCCCUCAUGCGGUUCUCCUUUGCCCGCACGCACAAUCAUCAUCUGAUGACGAACCCAACACCAGUUGCAUGGAAUGGAUUCGUCGGCUCAUAAUGAAUCCGUUUUACCUAUCUCCAAUAGCAAUAGCGUAGUGGCAGGUUUGGCUGGUAGAAGCAGUGGAAAAAAAAGCUGCGGGGAAGGGUGAUUGGCGGCGGAAGGUGGCGGGGCUGGUGUGCCGAGAACAGAUAGUGAGGGGGCGGGGAAGGGUGGUGGCCCAAUUGAGGGGCCCAUACAUGCUGAUGGGUCAGUUUUGAAGUAUUGGGGGGUUUAUUAUUGGGGAUCUGUCGUGGGAUGACAUGAUUUUGGGGAAAUAAAUUUUAGUAAAACCCCCAAUACAUAGUUUUGGGGAAGAAUUUUUUAGAUACUCUGGAAGAAACACAUGUAAUUCUAUUUCAAAAGUUACCAAGCACCUUUUAUUUAUAUCAAAACAUAUUUAUCUGAUUUCGUUUCUUCCACAACUUCAUGUUUGUACCAUGUAAUGAAUGAAAUUAGCAUCACAAUGUGCUUCUACCAUAUAUACAAUUUCUUGUAUGUACCGUAUAAUAAGUGAAAUUCAGUGUCACACGCUGCCCCCAUUUGCAUAAUUUCAAUGUAUGUACCAUGUAACAUAAUCAAUGACAAUCAUAAUCUCACGCUUCUCCCAAACGUGCAAGUUGUUUUUCGUUUUACUGAGUCAUUUUCUCUUUUUAAGGUGAAGCAUUAUGUACUACGAUGGAAUUCUUCAAGAUUACCCUGAUAUUAGUAGAACAAUAUAGGUACUUAAUUGACGAAAACAUCGGUCACGCAUUUUAGAUCAUGGCUGGUCUUGGUUUGGAUGGCUGAUAAUCUUGCCGCCCCUUAAUUUUCAUAUAUAUUAACCCACUUCAAUCAACGGUACGGUGCUUCUUAGAAACUAGCAUCAUGUAUUGUGAAAAAAUCGGUCAUGUACUCUAAUGAAGACCUUAGACGUUGGACAAACUCGGUCGUUUCCUGCCUAAAAAAUAGCACAUCAACUGCCCAAUACAUGUGGACAUCAUCUGCUGCAUAAACAUGUCCUCUCCUCUCAAUCAUAUCAUCUUCUAGCUCUGCCCGGCUGCAUCCAAUCUUGUUGAUCAAUGGCUUCCACUUAAUGGCCCCGUGCUGAGGAUGGCCAUUUCCAUUGCCACUUCGCUUCGGCCCAAGCCUAGCUACCGGCGACGGGCCUCACUUCGCUCCGUCUGAAGUCGGCCUUUAUCUGUAUAUAACUAAAUUUGGAUCAUAACUCAACAUGUCUUACUUCAUAAGCAUAGAAAUUACUAAAGAAUGAUCAAAAUAUAUCUAUGUAAUAAAGUGUCCUUGCUCCCGGUAUAUGCCUACCGGCUAGCUAGAGGAAGCGUGCGUGUGAUGCUUGGUCAUCGUCAGUGUUCGUGAGCUAAGCCUCAUACUAUGUAUCUGAUACUUCUGUCCAAGGGUAUUCUUGGAACCCGUGUUUAAUGGAAGUAUAAAUUUCUGUAUCAACAAAAAAAAACACCUUUUGUUAUGGUUCUUUUCCUUGUUAUUAUUCAUCAAUGCGUGCAAAACUAUAUAGUCCCUGUUGGGGAACCAUCUACGCCUAACAUUCAGAUGGGGCCUAACAUUCAUAUGGGCAAAGAAUAUGUUAUGCGGAGAUGAUUGAGUUCUUUAUCUUUCAGGAUCUAGAAUCAAAGCCAUUAGCUGCCCGCAGUCCUAUGCAGAAAAGGCGGGCAAGAAAGGCAUCGCCAAGAGAUCUGGCAGGUUUCGCUCCCCAAGACAUAGAAGGCAAUAUUGCUAUAUAAGCAAGAGAGGUUUCCCCGAUCAAGCUGGACUCACUUUGCCAAGCAAGAUGGAGUUCGCUAAUCGGAAGAGCGAAAGGUGUCCAGAUGCAACUUGCAUGGCAAGCAAGAGAAAAAGCUUUGAUUGAAUGCCAGCUUCAUGAAGCGAAACAAUGACAUCAUUAAGGUGCCAGCUUCAUGUGUUGUAAAGACAGCGGUGCUCCUAAAUAUGUCUAUAAUAUAGUCAUUGAAGGUCUAAUUGUCUAUAAUAUAGUCAUUGAAGAUUAAAGUAGCAUGAUUUAGAAAACACAAGUCAUCUCAUAAAAUAAAGCUUACCGAAAGCUCAGUAUCCUGGCCACAUGUAUCCAAAUCCAGCGUAUAGAAAAAUCCCACCGAAAACUCACGCGAAAAUUCUUGCCGGUCCUGCCAUAUGCCUCACGGACAUUAAUUUUCCCCUUCACUAGUGCAUCGAUUUCCGUUAAGGAAACAGAACCUUUCUAUCAGGUAUUCUAAUUCUAAACCAAGCAAGCCUUCUAAUUUCCCAAUCUUUUACAAACAAGACAGCAUGGUCAAUUUUUUUCUCAUUUUGACACAAGUGGGGAACGUAAGGUUUAUUUUUUCAUUCUUUCAGGAUCUAAAUUUUCCCUUCCACAGAGGAAGCAAACAGCGGAGUGUUUGCAUCUGUCAGCAAAAAUUUUGAUUUUUUUUUCAUACCAACCUCUGAGAGACUCCAUGACGAGUCAUUGGAAGCAUGAACUUGCCGGCAAAAGCAUGCAUGCCAUCCUUUGGACGUGUAUCAAUGGCGAACUAAGCAGUAUGGCAACAUAGACGUCGUGCUUGAUCUGUCACUGCAGCAAGCUCUGAAUCAGUGAUGAUGGUUUGAUCCACCCUCAUCUCUUUUUAUUGGAUAAAGUUAUGAUAAUUGCACAUUUGCCUCUCGAAGCAUCAAGCAACAAAAACAACAGUGAAAAGUGUAUCGAUGAAGAUCCAGAUGGCAUACUAUUACAAAAUUAAGUAAUUAGAGGUUUCAUUUGAAGCCUUUAUGUUAAUUAUUAUCUGCUCCCUUGAGUCAAUGGUGGUACGGUGCUAGUUAGAAACUAGCACCGUACCCCAAGUUGUCAUUAUACAUAUCAACAGUACGGUGCAGUACUCACACUACCACAAAUGGAAAUUUUGUGAGGGUCAAAAUUUGUCAAAACUAGCAUCCCAAUAAUGCAAGUAGCUAGGCUUCUCAAUCACGGACGUGUUGUACUCUCCUAUAAGAUUAGAAAUAGCAUAUCUACUGUCCCAAUUUGGACAUGGAAUUCGAUGAUCCUGGCCUACAAAUACUGGUGUUCCCGCUCUCUUUCUCCAUCAACUAAUACCGCUCUCGUCAGUUCUCCAUCUACCCCAGCUGCACCUACUCAUAUUUUGAUCCAUGGCUUCCGCGAACGGCUCCGUGCUUAAGACGGCGGUUCCUGUGGCUGCCUGCAUCGCGCUGAUCCUCCUGUCCAUGGGUCUGCCGCCGGCGAUGGCCGACGUGGAGGAAGACUGCCGCGGGAUUUGUUAUCCUGCGUGCGAUGGCUUCACUUCCGAGGUGUGCGGGAGCCUUAAUGGAACCUUGCCUGUCCUGGGUAACAUUGGUUUCUUCUACACGACGUGCAAGGUGCGGGUGUCUAUAGCAUGCAGAACCCUUUGCUUCAACGUCUGCACCCUCAACACCCUGACGCCAAGCGGCGGCGCCCCCAUGCCGGCGCCGGGUAGCACUGCCGCCGCGCCACCACCAUGCAAGCCGUAAUGCUGCCUAUCUACGUGAUACUUCUAAAAUAUUACUACUGAAUAAUCAGAAUAUAUCUAUAUGUAAUAAUAAAGUGCCCUAGCUAGAUCCUGAUAUGAGCCUACUGCCAGAGCAAGCAUGUAUGCGUGCUUGCCGGUGCUCAUGAGCUAAGCCCCAUACGUAUGUGAUCUGGUGUCCUGCAGCGAUAUGCUUUCGAACAGAUGUUUAAUAUGCAAGAAUAAAUUUCCUUGUCCAGGAAAUAUAUCCUGUUGUCUUCUCAUUACUACAUAUGUUAAUCGUUUGCUCUUACUAGAUUCUCGUAUCAAUCAGAGAAAAAGAAAAACAUCUCAGGGAUUACCAACCAUGGACUCGAAAUAUGAUGAUGCAGAUUAAGUGGCGUGGUUUAUUAGAUUUAGGAAAAAACUCCAAAUUACCCCCUCAAAUAUAGACAAUUUCAUGGUUCAGUAAUUUACCUCCUAAACUAUGUCAUUUGGUUCGACCAGCUUAGGUCUGACUUCUAUCGCCAGCCAUUUUGAAAAAAAUUAUGGCAAUUUGGCAAGCCGAAUCCAUCGUGGAUGUGUGACAUGACGUGCCACGGAGGACAAAAUGGCAAUUUUGUUAGUAAAACAUCUUUUCGGUGGCAAAUAUGUAGGCGCCAUUCUAAAAGUGGCUUCUCAAGGUAUGCCAUUUCUAAGGAUGGCAAAUAUUUAAAUAUCUCCAAAAUUAUAUCCAUGGCACAGGACCCUCAAAUGUCUCGGAUGGCCCUGCUAUGUACGUGAUAACAUCUAUUUCCUUUAGCUUUAAGAUAGCGUUUGUUUCACUAUAAUGUAACAUAAUCUGAUUACAGCGGUAAGCAAUCCCGUUACAAGCGUUUAUUUGUGGUAAGCAAUUAAUCCCGUUACAAGCGUUUGUAAUCAAUUCACGCUGUUAUCAGAUACCAGGCAUAUAUAUAGAAACUCGUUACCACUCCUUCCCCAGGGUAAUUAGAAAACGAUACACCCACAGCAGCAAGUCGAGGCGGGAGUAGCACCAGCCGCCGCUCGCCGCUCUGUGCGACUACGCCUGCACUUCCUGACCACGCAAGCAACUCCGCCGACGAAUCACUCCUGCAGUGCCGCCUCUUCGCCUCCAUGUCUCGAGCCACUUGCAUCCUCCCCUGCUCAUCUCUCUCAAAUCGACAAAUCCUGUAUCCUCACCCACGAUCAAGGAUCUGGUCUUGAGAUGGGGAGGUGGAGCAGGAGGAACAGCAGCUCCAUCCACAGACCAUAUUCUUCGGCAUGGUGGAUCUCCCUCGUCUUCCCUUGCUUUGGUUCAAUUUGUGCGGCUCGAUGGAUUCUGCUAUAGCCUAAAGGGAUUGGGGAUUUCUUUUCUGCAAAGAUUGGGGUUAUUUUGGGUGCAGAAAUUGGGGGGGAUUUCUUCAUACAUUGGUUUCCCCAUCAAUUUUCAGUUCAUUUUUUCUUGAGAUUGGUUUGGUCCUUCCUUGGGAAGCUGUAUAUUUGGAUGCAGAGAUGUAUAUACAUUCUCUGUUCUUGCAAGAGGAGUCCUGGUAUCUAAUAACGUUACCGCGGUGUGAUCAAACAAAGAGUGUAAUCACCCAUUACACCACCAAAAGCACUACAAUCACAUUUCAUGUAUGUUUACGUUACCAUUGCACGAACCAAACACUAUCUAUGUUUACGUUACCAUUGCACGAACACUAUCUAUCUAAAGGUAAUAUGCAUGGCCCGUGUUACUAAUCAAGGAUUUUCAUGAAGCGCACAUGUGAGUGCUAUCAAAGUCAUAUACCUUUAUUACUGUGAUAUUAGACAUACUUGAAUGUCUAUGAGAAGCCAUUUUGUAUGCGUGUGUACCUUUCACAUAAUCAUAGAAAAUAAAACUUGUCACAAUUUAGUUGUUGCCUUCGUCAUAUAGGUGUUAGGCAUGCAAGUUAUUCUUUUUAAAAAGUCCAAAUUACUCCCCUCAAGUAUAGUGAUAAAGUGCUUUGUUAGAAACUAUUUGACUAUAAAUUGUCAUGUCAAAUAAUACGAUUCAAUUCAUGUGAUAAAUAUGGUAAUUUAGAUUACCAUCAUGUGUCAUUUAAAUAUUUAGAAUUAACACUUAAGCCUAUUUGCCUAAGUAUACUAAGGAAGUAUACGUGUGUGCAAACACUCAGGUGCAAGCUAGCUGCAUGCAUAUACUCAUACACAAAGACCCUUGAAAUAUUCUAAUGCACGUGAUGCACAUUCCAAGGCCCAGUCCAAAAUCGCCAAGGAACUUCUUUUAAUGUGCGGCCCAUGUAUGCUAACGACUGUACGUAUACGUAUACAACUACCCGCCGGAGCGUUAAUGAUUUGAAAACCUUCAGGCUGGAGUACGGUCACGUUCAGAUUGCAUGCAUGGUCACUAGCGUUGGAGUUUUAAACGGGAGCUUGCAUGCAGCGCGCAGAGCAAUCAAUGACUUGCUCUUAUCUCGGGCCACUAGCAUUGCAUGCAGCGCUUUGCAUGGUAACUAGCGUUGGAAUUUUAAAUGAGAGCUUGCAUGCAGCUCGCAGAGCGAUCAACGGCUUGCUUUUAUCUCGGGCCACGCUGAAUUGAACAGCGGCGGCGCUCAGCUCCCAGACGCCAGGGGCGUCACUUGACCUACCCUCCCUCUAUAUAUUGUUUUUGGUGCUACAGGUGAAAGGGAGAGGAAACACGCGCACACACAUCGCCAUCCACCAGAACACAAUCACAUAUCUUUCUUCAUCCACCAAAAUCACGGUCGCCUGCAGAUCGACCUCGCCGCCGCGAGCGAGUCAAGGCAGGAUCUCGUCAUCUUGGAAAGGCCGGCUUCGUCCUCAUCGACACUUCUUCUCCGCCAUGCCUAUGGCAUUGCCUGAUCGUGAGUAAUCGGCGUGGCCUAGGGAGUCUGUUAAUUUUGUUCUUGUGUUUCAAGGAUAUGCCUACGAUGACAGGGCUGUGAGCACUCGAUGCAUGCUGGCUUCUGGUGAAAGAAAUGCCAGGAGGCUCAUGUGCCCUACAGGCUUAUUGAUAAUAGGAAAAAAUAGAAGUGCCAAUGGCACUCAUACACUUUGCAGGUUUCAAGUUUGUAGGUGUACGAAGAAUUGAGAGAUCACAUCUCUCUACGGCAGUGUUUACAUAAAAGAAAUAGAUCAACAGAUAAAAGACAUAGAUCAACAGAUGAGCACGCCAUUAAGAUGGCAGUGCCAGACACUUUGCAGGUACUGGAGGCUUCACACGGAUAAUAAAAUUAAUGGUCAUGCUUGCAGGCUCACGCCACAAGGCUAAUCGAUCUAUACAAUAGGUCAUGCCAUGGUAUUGAUAAGUGCCUGGAUCCUAUAUGCAAGUCUGCUAAGGAAGGAGAAAGGAAAUAAAGUAUACAGAUGAAAUGUUAUGUUUUGCGACGGUCGGGUUCAAUUAAAAGGUCUCAGAUCUAUUAAUUUAUUAGCACUAGCUUUCCGUGACCGACGAGGUUGGAAAUUUCUAUUAUGUGCCGACCGGUGAGGUGGGAUAAAAUCCGUUCGUGACCGCCGAGGCUGAACCCAUUCAUCUCGGAAGCUUUUGCUGAACACGAGGCGUGAUGAAAUACAGCAUUAAGGUGGUGUUUGGAUCCAAAGUUCACGGACUAAAUUUUAGCUCCUAAAAUUUAGCCCCUAAAAUUUAGUUUUGCUGGGAUGUUUGGAUCCAUGGGCUAAAUUUUAGUCAUCAUCAAAAAAUGACUGAUUUGCCCUCCCUCCUCACUCCUACAACCACCACCAGAGUAGCAGCGAGAUCCAAAAUCCGACGCUCCAGCUCCUCCCACCUCUCGUCCGCGCGAGCUCGGGCGGUGUCGGAGGCGGUGGGGCCGGAGGAGGCGGUCGGGCGGAGGCGGUGCGGCCGGCCGGCCAGAGGCGGCGAGCUCGGGCGGAGGCGGCGGGCUCGGGCGGAGGCGGCGCGGCCGACGGAGGCGGCGAGCUCGGGCGGAGGCGGCGGGCGUGUGGGAGGCGGAGGAGAGAGGAAGUGCGGGAGGGGCAAGGCACGGAGGCCGAGGAGAGAGGAAAGGGGGCAGGGGUGGAAUUUGUGAUCCAGGUUCACUUUUAGCUCAUUUUAGGGCCUCUUUGGGGGCUAAAAUUUAGCUCCAAAAUUUUAGCUAUUUGUCACUUUUAGCCAUCCUAUUUGGAUCCCAAGAGCUAAUUUUUGGGCUAAAAGUGCAGAGUUAAAAAUUAGCCCUUGGAUCCAAACAGGGCCUAAGUCGCUCAGCUUUGUUUCUUCUCGUUGUUUCUUUUAUGCAGCAUUCAUCUUUGGAGUACAGGAUAGGACACAACGACGACCGUUUGACACAGCAUAAUCGGAGGUAUUCCGCGGGUCGAACCUACGGAUGUAAUUAACUACAGUUCUUGCGAGGCUCUAGGAUUUAGGAACUAUGCAGUCGUCUGUACCUUGAGGUGCUAUGCUGAAAUAUAUGUAAAAAGAGAGGAGACUUGCAAGUUUCUCGAGAGAUGAAUAAAGAAAGCAAGUUUUCCUAUUUUAUUGUGUUUCUGUGAUAGUAUACUGGCACGCCCGUACUUUAUUACGUCGUACGCCGAGAGAUUUCGAGUAUUUCUCUCAUGAAAACAAAAUGGCACACCCGGUGGGACUCGAAUGUCCUCCCAUCUUUGCUGCUCGUCAUCGGUCGUCGCAUUUAGAUCUUGUCCUGAACCUCCUAUGCAUAGUGUUGUUUUUUCGAAUUGUGGUGUUGUGGUCUAAUCAAUGCACAUCUCGUGCAGGUGAGAUGUCCACCACCAAUGCUUCUCUACUCGCUGGUUCUGAGCCUUUUGUGCUUCAGUUUGGCACGAUGACGCCUCUUGCAAUCUGCAACGAGGGAUUCAAAACACAGAUUUACCUGAUGGAGGAUCCCUCCCAGCAAGUUUCACGGAAAAUCUUCAAACGUAAAGCUGCAGUGGCCAGGAAGGAGUACCAGGCACUAAUCUGCAAUGCUAGGAACAUGCUGAGGAGCUCUGAAACUCAGGAUGUGCAAGGAGAGGUUGAAACGUCUGAUGAUGAUGUUCCGCCCACCCAUCGCACAGAGAUAGAACUCCUCCAGGGUCUGGAAAAAAUGAGCUGCCAUUUAAGGGCCAAGGGUACUUUUGCUAGAACCUCCAAAAAGAAAAAUGCUCAUCGUAACUACAGGAGAAAGAGGCAACAGGUGAAAAAGCUUCAAGCACAAUUGAAAGCUCGUAUUGGUGAAGGCUUUAUGUCACCAAUAGACUGUAACGAGGGCCACCACCAUGCUGAUCACAGUUCUAAACACCGUGUAUUCCGGCAUAGCGAUUACACCAGUGAGCAUAACGUGUUUCAGCACAGUACUCCCAUCCGAGAGCCUUAUGUAAUUUCCCAGAGGGAAUGGGCACCAAAGAGGCAACAAGCGAUAGAGCUUGUUAAGGAGGUGAUCAUGAAUGAAUUUUGGAGGAGAACUAUUGAAGGGCAAGGCGUUUCUCAGCCGCAUCGCACACUGGUGUGUUGCCUUCAUAUCUACGAAAGUGAAAAUUCUAACAGAUUUGCAGCCUUGUCUAGUGAGGCGUCGGCUCCCAGAGCAGGUAGAUUACAACAACAAAUUGAGCAAUUACAAAGCCAGAUCAGUGGGAUGCAACGACAUCUUCAGAACCAGGAAAGGCCAGCCCCGUCUUCUUACAGGGGCAGGCCAAAGUUUUACAAUCGGCGCUCACGCCAAGCGUGGGUUCCGAGACGUGAAUCUUGGGCUGCCAAUAUCAUUCCACUGCGCCAAAGGAGUUUAAACCUCAGUGGCGUCUCAGAACUCUUUUAGAGGACAAGGCACCUCAAGGCAACAAACUGAACAUACAAUUAUCGACGGGAUGUCAUAAUGCACCUUUUUAUAGUGCACCACGGUUUCCAGCUCUUCCUCCUCCGACACCAUCGAGAAGUCGCUAUGCGAUCAUGAAUCAGCAAAAACGUGAAAGGCAUAGGAGGAAUCGAGAGGUAACUGUAAUAUCAUUUUCGUCUCUUUUUCUUUACAGGUAAAGUUCCGCCCUUAACCUUGUCGAUGUCUGACAAUCAGCGUAGCUUUCCUCAGCCUUCUCGGCAUAAUAGCAAAUCCGGAGAAUUUUCAAGAGUACAAAUAGCAAAUCUACUUUCCCAAUUUGGACUAGGAAUUUGGUCCUAGCCUACAAAUACCACGUCUGCUGGUGUCCCGAUAUCGGCAUCAACUGAUGAUAUAGCUUUCUUUCUCUAGGUACCCAAGCUGCACCUAGCCUACUGAUCAAUGGCUUCUUCUAAUAGCUCCAUAUGCUUAAGAUGGUGAUUCCUGUUGCCGCCUGCAUCGUGCUGGUCCUGUUGUCCAUGGGUCCGCCGACGUGGAGGUCGAUUGUGGCGCCAUUUGUCGUCCUGCAUGCGAUGGCUUCACUUCCCACGUGUGCAGGAGCCUCAAUGGAACCUCGCCUGUCCUCAAUAAUCUGGGUUUCUUCUACACGACGUGCAAAGUGCGGGUCUCUACACUAUGUAGGACCUUUUGCUAUGGUGUCUGCACGCUCAACACCCUAUCAUCGGUCAAAGAAAAGAAAAAACAUCUCAAUGAUCACCAAGUGCGGACCUGAAAUAUGACGAUGCAGAUUAACAAGCAUGGUUUAUUAGAUCUAUCAUCCAAGCAUACAUUAGCUCAUGCUUAUCGAUCAUGGAGUUCUUCAGUUCUGGACACAUUUAUACAUUUCCAACACAAAGAAAAGAUCGAUCGAAAUCUCAUGUGAAAACACUUGUCGGUCCGGUCUUAUACCUCACGAACUCUUCUUCACAAGUACAUCAGUUCCUGUUAAAGAAACAAACGUUCUUAUCAAGUCUUCUAAAUGUAAACCAAGCAAACCUUCCAAUUUUCCAAUCUUUCACAUGACAGAUUGCCCAAUUAGGAAAGGAUCAAAAAAAAUUCUCAGUUGACGAUAUGAAAAAUAGGAUUUGUUAUUCUUGCAAGGAUCAAAAUUUUCCAUUCGACAGAGGCAGUAAACAGAAGAGUAAAAUUUGUUGUUUUUUUAUAUGAAGCUACUAUUUCUAGAGGUCCCAUAUGGUGAUGCACACAGUCGGUAGGGGAAGCUCCAACAUAUUUUUUCAUAUUUUUUUUAUCCUAGACCCGUUUAAUUUGCUCCCACGAGGAGUCGAACCUGGGCCCGCUGGAUGCUACUCAGGUGCUAACUCUAACCACUAGGCUACUUGUUGCCAAGCAUGCCAACAACAGAUACUUCAGGUAGUUGUGAUAAUUCUACAUUUGCUUCUCCAAGCAACAAACAAUACAAAAACUUCAGGUAGUGAUCAGAGGCUAUAUUAUUUGGAGGCUUCAUGUUGAUCCUCAUGAGAUGCUAAUCAUCGCUAAUAAUAAAAGUCAUAUGAUCUAUUCAGUUUUUUAAGAAAACCCAUAUAUAUCAUUAUGAAAAUUGUCUUAAUUAGACCCCUAAUCUUUACCUAAAUUACUCCUUGCCAUUUGUGAAAUAACCUAAGUAACUCUUUAAAAUUUACAUCUAAAUUACCCGCCCCGCUAUUUUAAAAAUCAUGUAAGGUAAAUCCAUAAUUCAGCAUCCCAAAGUAUUCCUAAGUAUGCUUCAAAGUUAUAUAUUUUUUAUAUUUUUAAUAUAGAAAAAACAAACAUCCCUAAGUAUGCAUCUAAGUUAUAUAUUUUAUAUUUUUAAUAUAAAAACAAACAGCCCUAGGAUCGAUCUAUUAUGUUUCAAAAAAAUUUGGUAUCUACCAUUAUGAGAAUAGUCUAUAAUAACUGGCUAUUACUGAUUAAAGGUUUCCAAACAAGGUUCCAUUUGGAUCGUUCAUGUUAAUCGCCAUGAUACCCUCUAUAAAAAAGAUAAAUGCAACAAAGUCUCACAAGAAUAAGAAACAUAUAACCAUCAGUUUGGCAUUCUCACAAAAAUCAGCAUCACAACAUGCUUCUCCCAUCUGCAUAAUUUCUUUUAUUUAUGUGUGAUACAAGACGUGGUUACAAGUUUAUGCGUACACGUGUGUACGUGUGUGCAUCUUCCAUGUAAUAAAAAAAGAUAAAAUUUCAGUUGUUUCCUUUUAUCAUAUAUAUAUAUAUAUAUAUAGGUGUUAAACGUCAAUUUGUUCUUUAGUGGGAAUGGUUUUACCGAGAUAUUUGCUUUGUUUUUUUUUUUUGUGUAGGCUUGAGGUGAAGCAUGCCUGAAGUAUGAUGUUGUUCUUUAAUAUUCCUUUAUAAGCAGAAGUAUUGUUUGUAUUUAACUGAUGAAAAUAUAGGUUGCAUAUUACUUAAGAUGAUGCCAAGAUCGUGGCCCAUUGCCACCCCCGUAAAUGGCAGAUCGAGGACGGUUAGGUUCAUUUGUUGCCUACGCCAAGGAUGUAGCAUGUGCGCUCAUUAAUUACUCCCAGUACAGUUCUCGUUAGAAUCUAGCACCCCUUAAUGUAUAUCAAUUAGAUCAUGUUUGGAUCAGGACUAAACUUUAGUCAGCUAAAAAUUACCUUCCGACCGAAGAUCCAAACAAGGGGUAUAGGUAGGCUAAAAAUUAGACAAUCCUAAAUAAUUGUAGUACAUUAGCCUUCUAAACACAGCUAAUCAGAGCUAAUUUUUUUUACCAUGGAUGCCAAAAGACAAAUACCCACCAAAAGAACGAGGCAUUGCAGCGGGCUCUACCAGGGGUAGAAUGGACUUUAAUCAAUACAUAAUUUAGAUCAAUCAUACAAACACACAUGAGUUGUCUCAAAGAAAAGCAAGGCCACCAAGCUCAGCUAGAGUCACGUUGGACACCAUGGUGUCAGUGCCAUUAACUAAAACUUUUUGAUAUUUCACUUCCAUCUAUGCUCUUGGAAAUGCAUUGAGACUCCUUUAGGAUUCAACGAAAGCUGUUGUCGCCAUACGUAGAAACACUCAUCCGCUCCGGCUCCAACGUGAAAUUUCCUAGCAACGGCAUCUCGCUGCUCUGUUUUGCAGGAGCCUCACUACUAGUCUCCCUAUCCUCACUACUAGUCUCCAUUUAGCUAUAUGCACAUUUGUAGGCGUGUAAGCCACAAUCGUGCUGCCCUACUUUCACAACCAUGUACCCUAAUCUCAAGUUACACUUCGAAUUCGAUCCUUGCCUACAAAUAGCGCAGCUGCUAGUGUCCCGAUAUCGGCAUCAGCGUAUAUCGCUAUCUUUCUCUAGCUACCCAGCUGCAUCUAGUCCUGUUGAUCAAUGGCUUCUACUAACGGUCGCCUUGCCUGCAUCGUGCUGGUCCUACCGUCCAUGGGUCCUCCGGUGAUGGCCGACGACUGCCACCCUGCUUGUGUUCGUGCCUGCAAUGACUUCGUUUCUAAAACGUGCGAUAUAGUCAUGGACAUCGCCCCAAUCCUUAAAACUGUGACUUCUCACAGACGUGCAAGGGGAAAGUCUCUCGAUUAUGUGUUCCUACCUGCGAUAACUUCUGCAUGAUGCUGACGCCCGGUGCCCGGACACCGGCGCCGGCCAGCUCCGCCGUGCCACCACCAUGCAAGCCAUAAUGCUGCCUGCGUGUUACUUCUAAAAUAUUACUACUGAAUAAUCAGAAAAUGCCUAUGUAAUAAAGUGCCGUAGCUCCGGGCAUGUGCCUACUGCCGGCUAGACGGGGCAUGCCUGUAAAUCGUGGUUAUGGUCACAGUGUUCAUUGGUAGAAAAACAAGCAAUGGGAAACCUCGUAGAUCUCGGUUUUCCCAACCAAGACUAAUCAUUUAGGACUAAAGAUUCUGGUCAUAUCUUUAGUCCCGGUUAGUAAAAAUAUUAGAAAUUCACAAGUCACGUGAUUUUUCACUCGAAAUAUACAUGUGCGCAGUGCGUGGGAUUCAAACCCACGACCUCAAGCCUCACCCAUAGCUUCCUUACCAUCUCACAUACACAGCAUAUCUAAUUGAGUAGGGGAUGCAAUCUUUUUGUAGUAACUCGUGGGGGAUCCUUUAGUCCCGGUUAAUAACACCAACCGGGACUAAAGGGUUUAGUCCCGGUUGGUGUUACCAACCAGGACUAAAGCCCUCGGAGGCUGGGCUUUAGUCUGAGCUUGUAACACCAAUGGGGGCUAAAGGAUCACCUUUAGUCCCAGUUGGUAAGGUCCCUCCACGGAUGAGCUUUUUAUUGAGGAUCACCUUUAGUCCCAAGUCAAAAAAACAACCGAGAUUUUUGUUGGGGAUGGAAGGUUACUUAGUGGUUGAUGAGUUGAGCAUCAGACGAUGUAUCUUAUCUUGUGUCCAGCGAUAUGCUUGGAACCAUUGUUUAAUGAAAAUAUAUAUAAAUUUCCCCUUAUCGUUCUGCUUGUUUUCUAGUUACUCAUAUCUGUGUGCAGGAGUAUACGUAUACUUUUCGUUGGAGAACCGAUAUUCGCGUAUCCCCUUCCCUGCAAAAGGGUCGAGUUCUUUGUCUUUCAGCGUGUAGAGUCUUAAGACCUUGGCGGUUUACAUUCAGAUGGGCGAAGAAGAUAUGCCAUGGCCCCUCUAGAGCAAAGACAGGCUUCGCCGCGAUUGCGCUCACGAUUGGCACGGCGCAGUUUGGCAGGAAACCAAACGAGCUCUAUGUAUUUAUGGAUGUAAGAAUUCAAACAGCCAUUUAGCCUGCAUAAUAAUGUUUAAUUCCGUUAUGUUCAGGUCAUUUAUCCCGUUCAAUCCCAUUCUUUUGACCGUUUAAACCCUGUUUCUGUUGACCGUUUACAUACUAAUAAAGAAUACCGUUCGUCUCGGUUCACUGUUAACGCUAGCUGCUUCCCUUGCCUUUUAGGUGUUUCUCCUCUAUAUAAAACACCACCCAAAUACAAUAUUGUAACACCCAAAAAUUACAUCUUUGCAUUUUAUUAAAAUUUGCUAGAAACAAUUUGCUUGUUUAAGGCAUGUAAGGUCAUUUUUGCAUUUUUCUAGACAUCCAAGCAUUUUUCUAAUUUAAUAAUGAAAUAUAGGAUUUUAUUUGUGCAUUCAUGCCGCUGCAUAGCUUUCAUCUUGUUUGCUUGAUUUCCAGUUUGCGUUUUGCUUUUGGGGUGGCCGAUCUUUUUUCUGUCUUUUCAGCUGGUUGUAUUUCAGUUCCAGAGUUCAGUCAGUAGUCAUCCGUUCGUUGGUUCUUCAGUUUCAGUUCUGUAGCUCUUCAGUUUUCUAUCGCCAGGUGUCUAUCAAGUUUCCUCGUUUGGCAACAAGGUGUUAACACCUGUCACAUCAGAUGUUUGAUACUAAUUAGAAAUAUUAAACAUAGUCUAAUUACAAAACUAAUUGCACAGAUGGAAUGUAAUUCGCGAGACGAAUCUAUUAAACCUAAUUAGUCCAUGAUUUGAUAAUGUGGUGCUACAGUAACCAUUUGCUAAUGAUGGAUUAAUUAGGCUUAAUAGAUUCGUCUCGCAAAUUAGCACAGAGUUUUGCAAUUAGUUUUAUAAUUAGCUCAUGUUUAGUUCUCCUAAUUAGCAUCCAAACAUCCGAUGUGACACUGUUAAAGUUUAACACCUCGUAUCCAAACACCCCCACCCCCUAGUCUUAGUUGCUGUUGGCAGUGGCAACAGGCACCAAGUUUCUUUUCAGUCCAGCGCUGGUGCCUUUCAAUGUUAAGUUUGCCAGUUCAGUUUCUGUUUUUGGUUCAGAAACAGCAGCGAACUGCUAGCUCCGAAUUCCUUUUCUUUCAAUCCAGUUGCGCCUGCUCCUUGCUGCCGGCCCAGCAGUUUCCUUUCCAGCCCAGCGCAGCGCCUGCUAUUUCCUCCGGUCCAGCUCGCGGCCAGGGGCCCAGCUGCCCGCACAGCAAGCCGUUUUUUUUGUUUCCCCGCAGCGGCCCAGCAGUGGCGUGGCCCAGCUCUCUUGCCCGUGCAUCGUCUUCUUCUCUCGCACGCCUGACUCCUCCGCCCAGCUCGCACACGUUCCUUCAGCGCCGCUUCCUCCGCUUGGACUCGAGUCCGAGUUUGCCCCGCGCCCCUGCCCAGCGACCGAUUCGAAGCGGGCCCGCACCCUGAGACCGCAUAUAAAGGCCGCCGCUAUUUUCUUUCCCAAACCGUAGAACCUUCGCUUUCGCAUCUACAGCUCCGCGAGCUCCCUUGCGCCGCCACCGUCGAUCUCCGCCUCCGCCGUUUUCCGUCGCCGCAAACUUCGCCCGGAGCUCCGCAGGAAGGUGGGGAGCUCGACUACCCUGUCCCCGUUCAGUUUCGCGCUCGUCUCCACCUGAACGAGUUCGCCGGAAAGCCGCCGUACCCCGCCGCGUUUUGGCGAAGUGCCGCCGCGUGCAUCGUCGCUAUCGUCGCCAGACGCGGGAUCCUGAUCCGACGGCGUAGCUUCGCCCGCUCGCGAGUCAAUCCGGUCUAUACCGGUCAGCAGCCGCGCGCCGCGCCGCUUUUGCACUUUAGCCUCUGCAGUUUUUGCGUUUUGCGCUACUACCCUCCCGCGGUUCAAAACUAUUUGAACCAGAUCCCUGUAAUCUUAGUUUGUCUCGCAGUUAUGCCCCUACAUCUUGUUUUAAGCAUAUCUUUUGCUUUAUAGCUUUGUUUUUAACGUUCUUUAUAUCCAUGUGUUCGUUUUAAUGUGUAGAAUAGCUUUUCAAACAUGUUUUCUCUGUUUAAUUAUGAUUGGUGUACUGUUUUCUUAUGUAUUGUAUUUGUUUGCUUGUAUGUGCUCGUGUGACGCGUGUAGACGUUUAGCAGUUCGAGGGAUUUGAAGAUCAAGCUUUCGAGGAGUACGAACAGCAAGACCAAGGCCAAGAAGGCAAGUCGUGCCCUUGAUCACUAUUUCUCAGUCCUAUACACUUUUACAUUCUCGUACUCAACAAUUAUGCUAUGCACAUGUUAAAAUUAAAUUGAUUGGUCCCAAUUAAGAUUCGCCUAGAUUGAAUUUACUUUUGCCUUGACGAACCAGAUUUACUUUUAUGUUGGGUAGCUUAUGCUUAGAGCUUACUUGGGAUAUGGUGGUUUAACUGAAUUCAACGUUUAAUCUUGCUUUACUUCUGUUGUACCUUUCAUUAAUACAAGAUCACAAGUGUUUAAUCGGAACAUGUAGAACCACCCAGAAAAACAGUGCUACCACAAGACUAAAUGGCUCUGGUCUUAGAUGAAUAAUUAGAAACCUUAGUCUGGGGUAAUCUUACUCGUGAUGAGGCAAGAGGGGGGACUGAGUUGUUGCAUUAGCGGCCUGUGAUAGGUUGUGCACGCCAUACACCGAAACCUUAGCGGGUUACCACUGACUAAUGAAUCUUUGUAAAGGCCUCGUAGCGUCCCUAUGCAAUCACACCUCAAAAGUGUGGUAUGGUGCCUUGCAAACACCGCAUGGUUGGGUCCAAAGUUCUUUUGAACUUUUACGCGACUUGUGGGUAAAGAUGUACAACCUCUGCAGAGUGUAAAACUGAUCGAUCAGCCGUGCUCACGGUUAAGAGCGGCCUGGACCCUCACAUGAUAAUGGUAUCGAAAGAUGGAUUUAAAUUGUUGUCAUUUCUUUUAUGGUUGUGUUAUUACUUUAUUCAUGUUCUUGUUUAAUUUCGGGUGGUAUAAAUUUAUACUUAGUUAAUUGCUAAUAAAACUUGACCAACUUAACUAAAAGCUGAUGCUAAUUUAGCCUUAGCCAUACCUUGAUUGGCCUUACACUACACUAUUCCCCACGACUUGUUGAGUACCAACCAUAAGUGUACUCACCCUUGCAAAACCGCUGUUCAGACCAAGCUAAUUUGGAGGAGUAUCUGCACGACUUUGAGGAGUUCUAGGCGUACGGUUCUUCAGUCAGCUGCCUGUGGUGUUGUCAUCGUCUUUGGAGUUCCGCUGCGUAAUAAUUUAAGCUUUGUGGUCAUGUAAUAAUGGUUGAUACUCUCUUUAUUUCGUUAUGGCACUGUCUUUGAUAUUCGCUUAUGUCGUACAUGUGUGUAACUUGAUCCUGGCGCACAUGUAUUUAUCGGAACCAGACUUAGAUAAGAAAAAGUAUUUAUGUGAGUAUCGUGUUAAACUAUAAACAAAUUAUAAUAGAGAGCAAAGAUGAGGAAUAUUUAAUAGCUAUGGUCCCAAACUAUUACAUUAAUUUCAAACAUUUCAUUAUUUAAAUUACUAGCCUGAUGAAGGCUAAUGUUAUCCUGACUAAUCUUUUAAAAGCAUGGUAAUCUCAUAUGCCUGUGCCGAAUUUGAUAUUCCAAUGCAUUAAAUUAUAAUACAUUUAAAUUAUUGAAGUUUCAUUUGGAAUUUUAAAUUUUUCCCACGCAUCUGCAAAUUAUCAACAAAUUUCUGCAUCACCACAUGGCUCUCCCAUCUGUAUGAUUUCUAGUAUUCAUGUGCGAUAGAAGACGUACUCACAGCUAUAUGAGUAGUCAAGUGUACUCAUGUGCAUAUUCCACGUAAUCACAAAAGAUAGAACUUCAUUUCAUAAUUUUAGUUGUUUCCUUUUAUUAUAUAAAGGUGUUAAUACAAACUUCAAGGUGUUAACACAUAGUUUUACCAAGUUGUUUGCUUGUUUAAGGUGUAUGCUUGAGGUGAAGCUUGUCUCAAGUAUGAUGAAAUUGUUUGAUAUUUCUUCCUUGUUCUUCAAUAUUUAGUUACUAGCAGCGGUAUUAUUGGUAUCUAACUGAUGCAAACUAUUGAUUGCAUAUUAUUCAAGCUCAGGGCUAGUCGAGAUUUGGACAGCAGAAUUGUCACCCCUAAAUUUCAAUGAUACUGUGCUCGUUUGAAAUUAGCACCUGAAGUUGUCAUUGUACAUAUCAAUUAAGGAGGAAAAUAUGUGCCAGUUAGCCGUAUGCUCAUUUGUGGUGAGUCAGCCACUGAUGUGGUGCAUGACUUGAUCAUUUGCCUACAAAUAGCGCGUAUCUGCUGUCACAAUAAGGGCAUCAUCAGCUGAUAUUGCUGCUCUCAUUCUCUAGACACCCAUCUGAAUCAAGUGUUGAUCAAUGGCUUCCGCUAGCGGCGCUUUGCUUAGGAAGGUCAUUCCUGUUGCUGCCUGCAUCAUGCUGGUCCUGUUGUUCAUGGGCCCCCCCCGUGAUGGCAGACAUACAGAACGACUGCCGUGCGAUUUGUAUUCCUAGGUGCAGUGGCCUCGCUUCUGAUGGGUGCAACAGCAUCAUUGAGCUCGCCCCUGCUAUCCUGAAACCUCUGAACCUCCUUCCAACGUGUGAAGUGCGGAUCAAUCAACUAUGCCUUACACUCUGCUUCAACGUCUGCACCCUCAACACCCUGACCCAGCGCCGCACCACCACCAUGCAAGCCAUAAUUAUAUACUCCUGUCUUACUUCAUAAGCAUAGAAAUUACUAAAGAAUGAUCAAAAUAUAUCCUUGUUUAAGGGCUAGAGGAAGCGUGCGUGUGAUGCUUUGGUCAUCGUCAGUGUUCGUGAGCUAAGCCUCAUACUAUGUAUCUGAUACUUGUGUCCAAGGGUAUUCUUGGAACCCGUGUUUAAUGGAAGUAUAAAUUUCUGUAUCAACAAAAAAAACACCUUUUGUUAUGUUUUUUCCUUGUUAUUAUUCAUCAAUGCGUGCAGAACUAUGUAGUCCCUGUUGGGGAAUCAUCUACACCUAACAUUCAGAUAGGGCCUAACAUUCUUAUGGGCAAAAAGUAUGUUAUGCGGAGAUGGUUGAGUUCUUUAUGUUUCAGGAUCUAGAAUCAAAGCCAUUAGCUGCCCGCAGUCCUAUGCAGAUAAGGCGGGCAGGAAGGCAUCUCCAAGAGAUCUGCUAGGUUUCGCUACCCAAGGCAUAGAAGGCAUUGCUAUAUAAGCAAGAGAGGUUUCUCCGAUCAAGCUGGACUGGCUUCGCCAAGCAAGAUGGAGUUCGCUAAUCGGAAGAGCGAAAGAUGUCG